AUCAAAUGGAGGCCAUGCUUGCAUCAGCAGCGAGUGAAGGAUGCUCACAGGAAACUAAUGUGGUGGGACCUUGUUCUUACAUUUGUCCCGUAUUUACUGAGCCCCCACUAUGUACUAGAAGCCCAGCUCCAGACCAGCUCCACAAGACGUUCCCACUCAGCCGGCAGCCGACAGGUGAACAAGCCAUAACCAGACAGAAUUGGAAAUACAGUUGUGAACAAGAAAAAACUUCCCCCAUCCCAAAGGAGUACAGUGUCCAGAAAAUCCAAAGCCAGACUACCAGCGCCCAACACAGUCAGCUCACCAUUAUUCUCCUAAGAACUUCUGGUAGCAUUUUCUUCAACGAAAUGCUCCCAAAUGAUGGUGGCACUGCCCUGCUCCCAGGAUGAGAAGCCGAGUGUACUGGAAAAUGCGAAAGAACCUAAAUACAUAUGGAGGCACGCAAUUGGUGGUGGGGGAGACCCGCUGUCCAGUCUGUGAUAGGAGAAAUGGGUUUUUGUAAAGGAUGCC
rnacentral:lncRNA from 1 species